rnacentral:sRNA from 12 species
AGCCUAAACCUCGCAAGAGGCAUGGCGCUAAAACCAACCACGAUAGUAAGCUCCCCGUUCAGUUUACCGUGGUUGGUCGUGCGCCGAAAGGUGCACGGAUGGCGUAAGUCAUC